ensembl:lncRNA
CACAUGUAAGUGCAUUUUUCUUUCUUAGAGAUUUAUUUUUGUUUGAUGAAUCGGACACUGUGUCAGGGAGCGAGGAGAACGUUGGGGGCCCCCCGCAGGGAAAGGGAUGCCCAGAGGUGGGGCUGCUGCGUCCUGCAUGGGCGGGUUUGGUGUGUCCCCCCAAGCUCUCACAGCUCUAAUAAAUAAGGAGCACCUGUAAGACAGUAGCUUGACUUGUUAAGUGACUCUGUACAAAGGAGGAUAUAGAAAUACAGUAUGUACACCGCAUCCACGGCCCCGUGGUGCUUCAGGGCCAGCGUGACACCGUCCUGGCCUCGCCCGCCCCCUCCUGCUGCCAGCUUGGUGGCCUGUGGGCAGGGGCACCUGGACCCCUCCAGAGGGAACAAUUGCUUUAUUGGAGUUAGUAAACAGAUACACUGAAUCACAAGGUGAUUUGAUUUUUUUUCUUUUUUUUUUUUGUUUUCUUCUUUUUUUUUUUUUUUUCCCUUAUUUUCUUUUUCUGUACUCAUCAGAAUGGGAUACUCCACAACUGUCUCACCAACUCAGUGCCAGUACACAUGCUCUAGAGGACUUCUGGACUCCCAGCUACAACUGUACAAGUGCACACAAGAAAAUCUACCCUGUUAUCCUCCACCCACUGAUUGAGGAUCGAAUUGCACAUUUCUCUUAACCAUGACAGGAGAAAGCAAACAGUGAAACAGAAUCAUGGGUGAGCUUUCUCACUUUCCCUCCUGUUUUCAUUGGUUUGUCCAUACCAUUCUAAUUAUCAUGAAAGGGCUCUGCGUAUAGAGAGAUUGCUUCACUGACUUCCUGGAUCACCGAAAACCAUCAGGGUUGAAAUUUCAUCCAAGUCUUUCGUGACGCCCAGCAAAUAUUCCCCCUCGGAUUAUUUUACACCUUCAGGGCAUUUUGGUCUUCAGUUCAACACUCUUGCUCUGUUCCCAAAUGGGGCGCUAUUUAGGGGAAUUUAAAGAGAAAGCUGAGAAGAAUAAACAUUUACCGAGUUCUCUUGGCAUUCAGUCUCUGAAAAACCACAGUAUAAACUAUUCAUGCUGCUUCUUACAUCUGUCAAAUCGAAAAUUAAAAGCCAUAAAAGUGUAACACUGAAAAUAUGGCAUUAAAAAGGAUAAAGGUGGCCUUUGUAAAAAUAACAAGAAAAGUAUAUUAGCCAAUAAAAUAUUCUAACUCUUCAUUUAAAAGUGCAUCCUGGGCAGGACAGAGAUGAAUCUGGAAGCAUUGGGACUCCAGUACGAUCCCUCUCCGCCGUCAAAACGUGAACAGUAUAGGUCCAAAACCGUACAAUGCAAAUCACAACUCUUCGUGUAGCAGCAAAACCACAGCAGUUUUUAAAAAGAUUAAAAAAAGAUUUUUGUUUUCAAAUUCGGAUCGUCUUCCAGCCUCACCCUCUGAGCCUUGGAAGAUGGGGCGGGGAGAAUACCUACAUUGGUCCUUG